CCUGCGGAGGGAUCAUUACCGAGUUUACAACUCCCAAACCCAAUGUGAACCAUACCAAACUGUUGCCUCGGCGGGGUCACGCCCCGGGUGCGUCGCAGCCCCGGAACCAGGCGCCCGCCGGAGGGACCAACCAAACUCUUUCUGUAGUCCCCUCGCGGACGUUAUUUCUUACAGCUCUGAGCAAAAAUUCAAAAUGAAUCAAAACUUUCAACAACGGAUCUCUUGGUUCUGGCAUCGAUGAAGAACGCAGCGAAAUGCGAUAAGUAAUGUGAAUUGCAGAAUUCAGUGAAUCAUCGAAUCUUUGAACGCACAUUGCGCCCGCCAGUAUUCUGGCGGGCAUGCCUGUCCGAGCGUCAUUUCAACCCUCGAACCCCUCCGGGGGGUCGGCGUUGGGGAUCGGGAACCCCUAAGACGGGAUCCCGGCCCCGAAAUACAGUGGCGGUCUCGCCGCAGCCUCUCCUGCGCAGUAGUUUGCACAACUCGCACCGGGAGCGCGGCGCGUCCACGUCCGUAAAACACCCAACUUCUGAAAUGUUGACCUCGGAUCAGGUAGGAAUACCCGCUGAACUUAAGCAUAUC
rnacentral:rRNA from 1 species